AUUGAACGCUGGCGGCAUGCCUUACACAUGCAAGUCGAACGGCAGCGGACCUUCGGGUGCCGGCGAGUGGCGAACGGGUGAGUAAUAUAUCGGAACGUACCUUUCAGUGGGGGAUAACGUAGCGAAAGUUACGCUAAUACCGCAUAUUCUGUGAGCAGGAAAGCAGGGGAUCGCAAGACCUUGCGCUGAUUGAGCGGCCGAUAUCAGAUUAGCUAGUUGGUGAGGUAAAGGCUCACCAAGGCGACGAUCUGUAGCGGGUCUGAGAGGAUGAUCCGCCACACUGGAACUGAGACACGGUCCAGACUCCUACGGGAGGCAGCAGUGGGGAAUUUUGGACAAUGGGCGGAAGCCUGAUCCAGCCAUGCCGCGUGAGUGAAGAAGGCC
rnacentral:rRNA from 1 species